UACGAAGGGUGCAAGCAUUACUCGGAAUUACUGGGCGUAAAGAGCUCGUAGGUGGUUUGUCGCGUUGUUCGUGAAAACUCACAGCUCAACUGUGGGCGUGCGGGCGAUACGGGCAGACUUGAGUACUGCAGGGGAGACUGGAAUUCCUGGUGUAGCGGUGGAAUGCGCAGAUAUCAGGAGGAACACCGAUGGCGAAGGCAGAUCUCUGGGCCGUAACUGACGCUGAGGAGCGAAAGCGUGGGGAGCGAACAGG
rnacentral:rRNA from 1 species